rnacentral:rRNA from 1 species
UACGGAGGGGACUAGCGUUGUUCGGAAUUACUGGGCGUAAAGCGCACGUAGGCGGAUUUGUAAGUCAGGGGUGAAAUCCCGAGGCUCGACCUCGGAACUGCCUUUGAUACUGCAAAUCUCGAGUCCGGAAGAGGUGAGUGGAAUUCCUAGUGUAGAGGUGAAAUUCGUAGAUAUUAGGAAGAACACCAGUGGCGAAGGCGGCUCACUGGUCCGGUACUGACGCUGAGGUGCGAAAGCGUGGGGAGCAAACAGGG